rnacentral:rRNA from 1 species
UAGUCCACGCCGUAAACUAUGAUUACUCGUUUUCAGCGAUAUACUGUUGGAGACUAAGCGAAAGUGAUAAGUAAUCCACCGUGGGGAGUACGAUCGCAAGGUUGAAACUCAAAGGAAUUGGACGGGGGCCCGCACAAGCGGUGGAGCAUGUGGUUUAAUUCGAUGAUACGCGAGGAACCUUACCAGGGCUUAAAUGUAGAAUGACAGAUUUGGAAACAGAUCCUUCUUCGGACAAUUUACAAGGUGCUGCAUGGUUGUCGUCAGCUCGUGCCGUGAGGUGUCAGGUUAAGUCCUAUAACGAGCGCAACCCUGUUGUUAGUUGCCAGUGAGUAAUGUCGGGAACUCUAACAAGACUGCCGGUGCAAACCGCGAGGAAGGUGGGAUGACGUCAAAUCAUCACGGCCCUUACGUCCUGGGCCACACACGUGCUACAAUGGUAGGGACAGAGAGCAGCCACAACGCGAGUUGGAGCGAAUCUAUAAACCCUAUCACAGUUCGGAUCGGAU